rnacentral:rRNA from 1 species
GACGAACGCUGGCGGCGUGCUUAACACAUGCAAGUCGAACGGAAAGGCCCUGCUUUUGUGGGGUGCUCGAGUGGCGAACGGGUGAGUAACACGUGAGUAACCUGCCCUUGACUUUGGGAUAACUUCAGGAAACUGGGGCUAAUACCGGAUAGGAGCUCCUGCUGCAUGGUGGGGGUUGGAAAGUUUCGGCGGUUGGGGAUGGACUCGCGGCUUAUCAGCUUGUUGGUGGGGUAGUGGCUUACCAAGGCUUUGACGGGUAGCCGGCCUGAGAGGGUGACCGGGCACAAGGGUCCUGAGGGACGGCGCAGACGCGAACCGGAGGCAGCAGUGGGGAGUAUGGCAGAGUGGGCCGAAGCCAGAGGCAGCAGUGCCGGGAGCGGAAUGCCGGGCUUCGGGUUAUAAACAGAUGUGGACGGUAACGUAGAGUGAGUGACGGUACUGAGUAAGGAAGCAACGGCUAACUACGUG